rnacentral:rRNA from 1 species
GGGUUAAGUCCCGCAACGAGCGCAACCCUUUUCCUUAUUUGCCAGCGGGUUAAGCCGGGAACUUUAAGGAUACUGCCAGUGACAAACUGGAGGAAGGCGGGGACGACGUCAAGUCAUCAUGGCCCUUACGACCAGGGCUACACACGUGCUACAAUGGUCGGUACAAAGGGUUGCUACCUAGCGAUAGGGUGCUAAUCUCAAAAAGCCGAUCGUAGUCCGGAUUGGAGUCUGCAACUCGACUCCAUGAAGUCGGAAUCGCUAGUAAUCGCGGAUCAGAAUGCCGCGGUGAAUACGUUCCCGGGCCUUGUACACACCGCCCGUCACACCAUGGGAGUUUGUUGCACCAGAAGUAGGUAGUCUAACCGCAAGGAGGACGCUUACCACGGUGUGGCCGAUGACUGGGGUGAAGUCGUAACAAGGUAGCCGUAGGGGAACCUGCGGCUGGAUCACCUCCUUAA